ACAGAGGGUGCAAACGUUGCUCGGAAUUAUUGGGCGUAAAGCGCGUGUAGGCGGCUUGUUAAGUCGGUUGUGAAAACCCAUGGCUCAACCACGGAAGGGCGUCCGAAACUGGCAAGCUAGAGUCCCGACGAGGAUGGCGGAAUUCCCAGUGUAGAGGUGAAAUUCGUAGAUAUUGGGAGGAACACCGGUGGCGAAGGCGACUCACUGGACACAUAUUGACGCUGAGGUGCGAAAGCGUGGGGAGCAAACAGGA
rnacentral:rRNA from 1 species